CGACUAUAUUACAGUAUAUCAAUUUCAUUCACUCAUUCUACAAUGAAGAGAAUAUUAUUGAUAUUUAUUUUUUGUCAGUUAGCUACUCCGAUUCUUGGACAAAGACGUUGUCCUUUCGGGGUUACAGAAGUUUCAUGUUUUAUUAAUCCCUGUGAUGAGCCCCCAGUACACCCUCAGGCUGGUGUUCAAACAUAAGAGGAGCUGUCUUUCGUCCUAACUACUGUGGUGGGUGUUAUAGAAGAUUCUACCUAUUUGGAAUAAUAAACGUCACCAGAUCGUGUAUACCAAGAGAACUGCCUUUCUGAUAACAAAGUGUUUUAACUUAAUGUACAAGACUUUGUUAAUUAUAAUAAUAUAGAAAGUCAAUAAACAC